UAGGGAAUUUUCGUCAAUGGGGGAGCCCUGAACGAGCAAUGCCGCGUGUGUGAAGAAGGUCUUCGGAUCGUAAAGCACUGUUGUAAGUGAAGAAUGCCACAUAGAGGAAAUGCUAUGUGGGUGACGGUAGCUUACCAGAAAGCCACGGCUAACUACGUGCCAGCAGCCGCGGUAAUACGUAGGUGGCAAGCGUUAUCCGGAAUCAUUGGGCGUAAAGGGUGCGUAGGUGGCACGAUAAGUCUGAAGUAAAAGGCAACAGCUCAACUGUUGUAUGCUUUGGAAACUGUCGAGCUAGAGUGCAGAAGAGGGCGAUGGAAUUCCAUGUGUAGCGGUAAAAUGCGUAGAUAUAUGGAGGAACACCAGUGGCGAAGGCGGUCGCCUGGUCUGUAACUGACACUGAUGCACGAAAGCGUGGGUAGCAAACAGGGAUUAGAUACC
rnacentral:rRNA from 1 species